GCAUAUCAAUAAGCGGAGGAAAAAGAAACCAACAGGGAUUGCCUCAGUAACGGCGAGUGAAGCGGCAACAGCUCAAAUUUGAAAUCUGGCUGCCUGUGCAGUCCGAGUUGUAAUUUGAAGAGGAUGCUUUUGGCAAGGUGCCUUCCGAGUUCCCUGGAAUGGGACGCCAUAGAGGGUGAGAGCCCCGUAUGGUCGGUCGCCGAGCCUCUGUAAAGCUCCUUCGACGAGUCGAGUAGUUUGGGAAUGCUGCUCAAAAUGGGAGGUAAACCCCUUCUAAAGCUAAAUACUGGCCAGAGACCGAUAGCGCACAAGUAGAGUGAUCGAAAGAUGAAAAGCACUUUGAAAAGAGAGUUAAACAGCACGUGAAAUUGUUGAAAGGGAAGCGCUUGCGACCAGACUUGUGCUCGUCGAAUCAGCCGUCGCUCGUCGGCGGCGCAUUUCGGCGGGCUCAGGCCAGCAUCAGUUCGCUGUGGGGGAGAAAGGCGGUAGGAAUGUGGCUCCUCGGAGUGUUAUAGCCUACCGUAUAAUACCCCUCGGCGGACUGAGGACCGCGCAUCUGCAAGGAUGCUGGCGUAAUGGUUGUCAGCGACCCGUCUUGAAACACGGACCAAGGAGUCGUCCUAAUAUGCGAGUGUUCGGGUGUCAAACCCCUACGCGUAAUGAAAGUGAACGGAGGUGAGAGCUUCGGCGCAUCAUCGACCGAUCCUGAUGUUCUCGGAUGGAUUUGAGUAUGAGCAUAUUGGGCCGGACCCGAAAGAAGGUGAACUAUGCCUGUAUAGGGUAAAGCCAGAGGAAACUCUGGUGGAGGCUCGCAGCGGUUCUGACGUGCAAAUCGAUCGUCAAAUAUGGGCAUGGGGGCGAAAGACUAAUCGAACCUUCUAGUAGCUGGGUUUCCGCCCGAG
rnacentral:rRNA from 1 species